CAGCACCUCAAGUGGUCAGGAUGAUUAUUGGGCCUAAAGCAUCCGUAGCCGGCGCUGUAAGUUUUCGGUUAAAUCUGUACGCUCAACGUACAGGCUGCCGGGAAUACUGCAGAGCUAGGGAGUGGGAGAGGUAGACGGUACUCGGUAGGAAGGGGUAAAAUCCUUUGAUCUAUUGAUGACCACCUGUGGCGAAGGCGGUCUACCAGAACACGUCCGAUGGUGAGGGAUGAAAGCUGGGGGAGCAAACCGGAUUAGAUACCCGAGUAGUCC
rnacentral:rRNA from 1 species